AUCAAGUGUCUUAAGAGCAUUCGGUGGAUGCCUUGGCGCUGA
rnacentral:rRNA from 1 species